AUUGAACGCUGGCUACAGGCUUAACACAUGCAAGUCGAGGGGAAACGAUAUUGGAAGCUUGCUUCCGAUAGGCGUCGACCGGCGCACGGGUGAGUAACGCGUAUCCAACCUGCCCACCACUUGGGGAUAACCUUGCGAAAGUAAGACUAAUACCCAAUGAUAUCCAUAGAAGACAUCUGAAAUGGAUUAAAGAUUUAUCGGUGAUGGAUGGGGAUGCGUCUGAUUAGCUUGUUGGCGGGGUAACGGCCCACCAAGGCGACGAUCAGUAGGGGUUCUGAGAGGAAGGUCCCCCACAUUGGAACUGAGACACGGUCCAAACUCCUACGGGAGGGAGCAGUGAGGAAUAUUGGUCAAUGGGCGAGAGCCUGAACCAGCCAAGUAGCGUGCAGGAUGACGGCCCUAUGGGUUGUAAACUGCUUUUAUAAGGGAAUAAAGUGGGAGUCGUGACUCCUUUUGCAUGUACCUUAUGAAUAAGGACCGGCUAAUUCCGUGCCAGCCGCCGCGGUAA
rnacentral:rRNA from 1 species